GUAAAUCUUCUUAGGUUUUGGGGAGGGCGGGGGGUCUUCUUAGUUUCCCCCAGAUAAUUAUUUUUUUUAUGUGUUCUUCAUACCAUCUCUGCUUUUCGCUGAACUAUUUUUCGCGUUUUUGUAUUUUUUGUUAUAGCAAAGUAGAGGGUUGUGUGGUGAAGGAUCAACUAUUCAUCUAGUUCAUUGAAGUGGAAAUUGUGAAGUUCAUUCUCAAAAUUGAUUCGAGUUUACAAGGAUCCAAGUAGUGGAAAGGUAAAUCUUGCAACCACCGGUACAACUACUGAGUUCUUGGGUACUUUCGGUGGUCUUGGAGCAAUUGGUUUAUCAGCGUCACUUUUGACAUCUGUUCUUCUAACCACAUUAGAGGUUCUCCUUGUGGUUGGCCUUUGUUCUGCUGGCGGGUGGUUAAUAAAGAAAAUCAAUGGCAUCAAAUGGUCAGGAUAAUGGACAGCAUAAGAAAGGUAAGAAAGGGCCUGAUAAUCUUCCUGCAGGUCAAUAAACACCACCACCACCACCACCAACACCUGUUACCACAACUUUUCAACCAACUGCUACAAAUGUUCUUCCUCCUCCAAGGUCAACUAUUUCACUAUCAAAUGCAUUUUUCAUGCCCCCACUAUCUGAUCAGUUCCACACCUCUUCUUCUCAUAAUAAUCUGUAUAGUAGCUUUUCAUUUGUACUUUCGACAUCAUCCACACCUACCUUUUAUGGAUUGAGAAUUGGAGGUCCUAGCACAUCAACAUCGUCAUCCAUUGAUAGUGCUACAGUGUCUAAUGCUACAGCAGCUACUUCUCGAAAUCUAAAAUUUAAAGAGGUAGUAGAAUAUGACAGCAAUAGGAGGCUACUUAUCAUCCCUGAUGGUAAUGGGUAAGUAACCCUUGUGUUUUUUCUUAAUAUUUAAAAUUCUCGAAAGCUAAGAUAAUUUAAUAUAAUUUUAUUGCAGGUUUAUUCUCGCAUAUGCCUCCGGGCAUAUGGUUAUAGAAGUAAUUAAACUAUUUUACAUGGAGUCAUGGGGUAGUUGGAACGAGAUUCGAAUCGACAUCAGAAUUCUUAUGUGGAAACAGUUUAUAGUAUAAUUAAAUUCAAAGAAUUUACCAUUUCAGUAUGCUAUCAAUAGUGAAUUUACCUUUGUAUCCAUUAACUCAUUUCAUGAAUUUAUGUUAAAAUAUUUUGCAGUGUGCAUGGAACUCUUUGUCAUGAAAAUGAAAUACAAGCCAUUUUCAAGUUGAAAGCAGCUCUACGGAUCAAAGAACACUUGUAUGAGGCCCGAAAGAACUUGAAAAAUCCUGGUUGGCUGACAGAUAAUGUGUGGGGCAAGUUCUUGGAAAAAUGGGAUACUCCUGAAUACAAGGUAAGGAGGAAACGAGCAAAUACAAAUAGAGCCUUUGAAAUGGGUGGCUCGUUGUACACUAGAGGUUCGAUGAGUUUCGCUACCCACCGACGAAGACUGGAAUAUUUAAAUGAGGGAAAAGAACCAACUUUUCUUGAGGUCAUCGAAGAGACGCAUAGGAAAAAAAGGACGGUAAAAGAGAAGAUUGGGUCAAAACGCAUGCUAAGGAUGCAUAUGAUUUCAAAAAAGCAUAUAAGAUUGGCGUCAAACCCAACCUAUUUUAGAGGAUGAUACCGUGGUCCAACUAUCACCUGCUAAUAUGAUUAACAUGUGGUCGGCCAACUGUGAUGGGUGGUCCAAAGAAAGAUAGAACCUACGGGUGUGGGGUUCUCCAAUCUUUGAAUACUCCUUCGUUGUUUCCCAGUUCCUUUUCUACUUUGCAAACUAUGAAAGAAAUGGAAGCGUGAGAAAGCAAAUUAUAGAGUUGACACAACAAUGUUGGCUAACGAUGCUAAGUUUGCUAAAUUUGCUAAAUUUGAGGAGAUGGUCAAGAAGCACAUGCCUCAAGUAUUUCAUGAUGAGGAAAAGAGCGAACCUGAUGAUAAUUAGAUUGUAGUUGUUGUUCUUGUUUUUUAUUGUGACAUUUAGAUGUUUAAACUAUUUGACUCGAUGUUUG